rnacentral:rRNA from 1 species
GCAAUGGGUGAGUAAAGUGGCGUACGGGUGAGUAACACGUGGGUGAUCUACUCUUUGGUGGGGAAUAACCCUGGGAAACCGGGGCUAAUACCGCAUAAGCCUCUAUUUUCAAAGUGGAGGGAAAGGUGCAAAUCGCCGAAGAAGGAGCCCGCGGCUGAUUAGCUAGUUGGUGGGGUAAAGGCUCACCAAGGCGAAGAUCGGUAGCCGGCCUGAGAGGGCACACGGCCACACUGGCACUGAAACACGGGCCAGACUCCUACGGGAGGCAGCAGUGGGGAAUCUUGCACAAUGGGGGCAACCCUGAUGCAGCGACGCCGCGUGAGCGAUGAAGCCCUUCGGGGUGUAAAGCUCUUUCGGCAGGAACGAUAAUGACGGUACCUGAAGAAGAAGCUGCGGCUAACUACGUGCCAGCAGCCGCGGUAAUACGUAGGCAGCGAGCGUUGUUCGGAGUUACUGGGCGUAAAGCGUGCGUAGGCGGUCUUGUAAGUCUGGUGUGAAAUCUCCCGGCUCAACUGGGAGGGUGCGCCGGAAACUGCAAGGCUGGAGUAUGGGAGAGGUAGGCGGAAUUCCUGGUGUAGCGGUGAAAUGCGUAGAUAUCANGAGGAACACCUGAGGUGAAGACGGGUUGCUGGGCCAACACUGACGCUGAGGCGCGAAAGCCAGGGGAGCAAACGGGAUUAGAUACCCCGGUAGUCCUGGCCCUAAACGAUG